rnacentral:rRNA from 1 species
CCUACGGGGGGCAGCAGUGGGGAAUAUUGGACAAUGGGGGGAACCCUGAUCCAGCCAUGCCGCGUGUGUGAAGAAGGCCCUCGGGUUGUAAAGCACUUUCAGUGAGGAAGAACGCCUGGUGGUUAAUACCCAUCAGGAAAGACAUCACUCACAGAAGAAGCACCGGCUAACUCCGUGCCAGCAGCCGCGGUAAUACGGAGGGUGCGAGCGUUAAUCGGAAUUACUGGGCGUAAAGCGCGCGUAGGUGGCUUGAUAAGCCGGUUGUGAAAGCCCCGGGCUCAACCUGGGAACGGCAUCCGGAACUGUCAAGCUAGAGUGCAGGAGAGGAAGGUAGAAUUCCCGGUGUAGCGGUGAAAUGCGUAGAGAUCGGGAGGAAUACCAGUGGCGAAGGCGGCCUUCUGGACUGAAACUGACACUGAGGUGCGAAAGCGUGGGUAGCAAACAGGAUUAGAUACCCGAGUAGUC